rnacentral:rRNA from 1 species
CAGGAUGAACGCUAGCUACAGGCUUAACACAUGCAAGUCGAGGGGCAGCAUGAAGUUGCUUGCAAACUUGAUGGCGACCGGCGCACGGGUGAGUAACGCGUAUCCAACCUUCCCCUUACUAGGGAAUAGCCCGGCGAAAGUCGGAUUAAUGCCCUAUGUUCUCCUUUGCGGGCAUCUAACGAGGAGCAAAGAUUCAUCGGUAAGGGAUGGGGAUGCGUCUGAUUAGCCAGUUGGCGGGGUAACGGCCCACCAAGGCGACGAUCAGUAGGGGUUCUGAGAGGAAGGUCCCCCACAUUGGUACUGAGACACGGACCAAACUCCUACGGGAGGCAGCAGUGAGGAAUAUUGGUCAAUGGACGCGAGUCUGAACCAGCCAAGUAGCGUGCAGGAAUGACUGCCCUAUGGGUUGUAAACUGCUUUUAUGCGGGAAUAAAGUCAGGUACGUGUACCUGUUUGUAUGUACCGCAUGAAUAAGGACCGGCUAAUUCCGUGCCAGCAGCCGC